rnacentral:rRNA from 1 species
UGGGGAAUAUUGGACAAUGGGGGCAACCCUGAUCCAGCCAUGCCGCGUGUGUGAAGAAGGCCUUUUGGUUGUAAAGCACUUUAAGCAGGGAGGAGAGGCUAAUGGUUAAUACCCAUUAGAUUAGACGUUACCUGCAGAAUAAGCACCGGCUAACUCUGUGCCAGCAGCCGCGGUAAUACAGAGGGUGCGAGCGUUAAUCGGAAUUACUGGGCGUAAAGCGAGUGUAGGUGGCUCAUUAAGUCACAUGUGAAAUCCCCGGGCUUAACCUGGGAACUGCAUGUGAUACUGGUGGUGCUAGAAUAUGUGAGAGGGAAGUAGAAUUCCAGGUGUAGCGGUGAAAUGCGUAGAGAUCUGGAGGAAUACCGAUGGCGAAGGCAGCUUCCUGGCAUAAUAUUGACACUGAGAUUCGAAAAGCGUGGGUAGCAAACAGGAUUAGAUACCCUGGUAGUCCACGCCGUAAACGAUGUCUACUAGCCGUUGGGGUCUUGAGACUUUAGUGGCGCAGUUAACGCGA